UGUUCAUUCACGUAACUAUUAUUUAAAUUCAUGAGUGAGCAACUCCGAUGAAGUGUUUGCUUUGUGUCAAAUAGAACUCGAAAUUUUCCUUUGUAGAGAAACAAAGAGUCAGGUACCUUUUAUGUCAGAAUAGCGGUCGAAAAACCGGCAUUUCAAAGUAUCCACGAAGUCAGAGUCCGUGAAGUGAACGGAAAAUACAACGAUGUAAGACACCAGCGGCGGAAAUUCAAGAUCUCAUCACGACUGGCACGACAAGUCCUCCUCAAAUUCAAUAUUCAUUUUUCUUAGUAUUCCUUUCAACGGAAUCCAAGAUUGCCCAGAUUGCCACUAGCUUGACGUGAUCUCAUGACGCACUUGAACUACACUCUCACGCCGAAAUUAACAUCAAUGAGCCGCAGAAAAUUAUUCGUCCGUACGAAUGCAUUUUUGUUCGUGCUGGUGUUGGCGUUCGUCUUCCUGUGCGUGCGUUACUUGCCGGCACGAGGAUGCUGGACGAACGAGUCUUCCAAGACAGAAAGUAAAACUAAAUACAGACUGAUCGUUCUAAUCCUUAGCAGCCCGGACAAUCUGGAACGCCGGGAUACUAUCCGCAAGACCUGGUUGGUGGAUUACCAUGCCACGGUGCGCCACUUAUUCGUCAUCGGCACCCUGGACAUUUUGCCGGAACAAAGAAACACGCUACUGUCGGAGAAGGAUAAAUUCAAUGAUCUGCUACUGUUACCUAGACUUCAAGACUCCUACAGCAUGCUGACGAAGAAGAUGCUACAUGCACUCAAGGCUACCCACGAGCGUUACGAUUUUGACUUCUUGCUUAAAUGCGACGACGACACCUACGUGCUGGUGCACAAAAUCCUGAAAGAACUUGACAGAUGGGAGAACAGGGGCACCAGGCGAGAGCUCUACUGGGGCUUCUUCAACGGCCGGGCGCAGGUGAAGAGGAGUGGUCCGUGGAAAGAAACUGAUUGGAUUCUCUGUGAUUAUUAUCUCCCGUAUGCUCUGGGAGGCGGCUACGUCUUAUCCUACAAUCUGGUCAAAUUUAUUGCAAGCAACGUGGAUAUCCUCAAGCUGCACAAUUCGGAGGACGUGUCCAUUGGUCUCUGGUUAGCACCAUUGGCGAAUAUUGAGAGAAAACACGAUGUACGUUUCGACACGGAAUAUAGGUCGCGCGGCUGCUCCAAUCAGUACAUAAUCACUCACAAGCAAACUAUUCAGAAUAUGAAGAGCAUGCAUGAGUAUUAUCAAGCUUCUGGGGUGUUAUGUUCGAAGGAAGUGAGAAAUCGUAUGAGUUAUCAGUAUAACUGGACCGCACCGCCUAGUCAAUGCUGCAACAGACAGUCGGGUAUUCCCUGAGACGCUAGAAGAGAAGCAUCGUUCUAGUCCCAUCUUUUGAUAUUCGCUCAAUAUUCUCACGUCGUUAUUUAUUCUAUUCCGCAAUAUGAUAUUCAACAACUAGCCUGACAUGGACUUAAUAAGUGCUGUUGAGCAACAUAAAAGAGCUGUAGAGAGUUGUUAAUUGCGAACUCGCGACGUUCUUUUAAUAAUCGAGACGAUCGACGAUUUCGUAUACAUUUGGAUCUACAUAUUAUUCGAGAAAUUGUUACACGACACUACUAUAAUUAACUGACAACGCUUGUAAAUACAUUUUGUAAAUAUUUAGCGAUGGAUAUAGAUAGAUUAUCGGGAGUUACGUUUCCAUAAACCAAAUAUAUAUUUUUCAAUCAUA
rnacentral:misc_RNA from 1 species